CCCUUAGAUGUCCUGGGCCGCACGCGCGCUACACUGAUGCAUUCAACGAGUUUCUUCCUGGUCCGAGAGGAAUGGGUAACCUUUUGAAAGUGCAUCGUGAUAGGGAUAGACUAUUGCAAUUAUUGGUCUUCAACGAGGAGUUCCUAGUAGACGUAGUUCAUCAGACUGCAUCGAUUACGUCCCUGCCCUUUGUACACACCGCCCGUCGCUCCUACCGAUUGAAUGCUCAGGUGAGCCAUUCGGACUUUCAUCAUGCUGGUUUCCAGUUUUGAUGAAGGAAAGUCUUGCGAACCUUAUCAUUUAGAGGAAGGAGAAGUCGUAACA
rnacentral:rRNA from 1 species